UUCAAACAACCAUCAACACUGGAGUUAGUAUUUGCUUGCAGGGGAAUGCGUUCAGGUAAUUUUGCUUAAUUGCCUAUGAUCCCAAUUCAAUUCUGCUUUUAAUCAUUAAUAUUCCUUAGUUUUAUCUGUGUUGUGCUUCACAAAAAGGAUAAAUUCUUCUUUUCCUGCGUUGGUUGUGUGCUGGGAUUCCGUUCCUAUUUGCUGACUCCAUGGAUUUGAUCAUUUCCCAUUUGCAGGCCUGUAGCUAUUCUUGUCUUUAUAUGUGUGAACUUCCCGUUAUGCUAAGACUUUUGGAAGGCACAACAGAUGCGGGGUAGAGUACGCCACACUCUUCAUAAUUCUCAUUCGACGUACACGACACCAAUACAAAACGGACUACAGUUUACCCAUGGAUGCGAAACUCAGAAUGAGUUCAGCGANN
rnacentral:lncRNA from 1 species